AGAAUCAACGCUGGCGGCGUGCCUAACACAUGCAAGUCGAACGAGAAAGGGGUAGCAAUACCCUGAGUAAAGUGGCGCACGGGUGAGUAACACGUGACUAACCUACCCUUGAGUGGGGGAUAACUGAGGGAAACCUUAGCUAAUACCGCAUAAUACCCACGGGUCAAAGGAGCAAUUCGCUCGAGGAGGGGGUCGCGGCCGAUUAGUUAGUUGGCGGGGUAAUGGCCCACCAAGACGAUGAUCGGUAUCCGGCCUGAGAGGGCGCACGGACACACUGGAACUGAAACACGGUCCAGACUCCUACGGGAGGCAGCAGUGGGGAAUUUUGCGCAAUGGGGAACCCUGACGCAGCAACGCCGCGUGGAGGAUGAAGUCCUUCGGGACGUAAACUCCUUUCGAUCGGGACGAUUAUGACGGUACCGGAAGAAGAACGCCCGGCUAACUUCGCGCCAGCAGCCGC
rnacentral:rRNA from 1 species